AUCUGUGGAUCGUGGAAGAACUAGAGGAUUAAGAGGAGGAAGACUUUACUAACACAAAGGCUCUUUAAAUAUCGUGAGGAUACACCAGGAAAGAGAUGACUACCGAUCACUUUCACUCCCUGGAAGAAGUUUAUCGUUUAGCUGUGCGCAGCCUGUCAGGUCACCGACCUCUCCAAUGAUUUUUGAACCUUCUCCUGAAUACAGUGGUAAACAAGCAGCUACACCAGACACACCUGGUAAGAGAAUAACACCAUGGGAAGCAGCAGCAAAAUCUCCUCUGGGAUUGGUGGACGAUGCUUUUAUGCCGCAUGUGAUGCAUGAAACCGUUUCUGCCAAUGUUGUAUCUGCUGCACGUAGGAAAACUCUCCCAGAGCCUCCACCAGCCUGGAAAUCAUCCUCCAACGCUUCUUCUGCUCCUGGUUCAUAUCCAUUUAAAGGCAUAUCUGAGACAAAGCCAAAAGGCAUGACAUUUGCACCAAAAAGCGUAGUGCCCCUGUCUUUUCAAUGUGGUUAUCAACUCAGGUAUCCAUAUUCUAGCCAGCACUCUAUAACCAAUCCAGGCUCUGUGGCUUUGGAUACCAGGUCAGAAUAUUGUAUGUCUACAAUGCGUAAUACUAACUAUAAUGCUUUUCCUAGGGCCUGGAGACGCUAAGUAUUAACUAUAACAAUGAAACAAUUGAAUUCUUAAACUAAAGGUCUAGGAAUUAAAGUUAAGAAGGAAUCUGGUCUGGUUCCCUAGGCCUUUGUAGUAACUUGGAAUGAACUAUAAGAUAUGGACCAUGCAGAAAACCUUUUGGCACUCCAGAGCUUUAACAUAUAGAUUUAUAGUUCACAUAUUUUUCACUUUAUACAUUCAGGAUUAUUUUAGCGGGUGGAAGUGAGUGCGUAUGCAUUACCACUUUAUGGGCUCCAUUUACUAUUGGUCAGGCAGACAUGAUUCGCUACCACAAAUCAUGUCCUUCAGACCUUGCUGCAAGUGGACAGCAUACACUGUCCAUAUUUAACAUUGCAUAAGCAUUGCACCAGCUGUCAAUCAUCCGAUUAUCGGAUCAGGAUGAUUUCAAUACGCCACGGUUAAGGAGCAUCUGUCUUAAGACCGCUGCUACUUAACUAUCGUUUCAGGCCUGAAACGACGGCUUCGGAAGCAUCAAUUGCUGCUUGGCAAAUGGAGCCCUACGGCUCUAUAAUGACAAAAAGGAAAUGACGUUCACUGUAAAGUAUAACUUGUCUAUAAUAACACAUCUUAUGAUCAGGUAUAAUACAAUGCAUAUCGUGAGUUAAUGUGCUAUAGGCUGUUUAAUGAUGAACUAUUUUCCUCUGUGAAUUCAGCUGGUCCCAAUCUUUAUGUAAAUGGUUAAACUUAUAGAAGUGACAAUGCAAAUAUAGUACAUUACCUUAAACCAAA